UUUUGGGGGCGUGCUAUAAUGCAAGUCGAACGAUGAAGCUCUAGCUUGCUAGAGUGGAUUAGUGGCGCACGGGUGAGUAAUGCAUAGAUAACAUGCCCUUUAGUCUAGGAUAGCCAUUGGAAACGAUGAUUAAUACUGGAUACUCCUUACGAGGGAAAGUUUUUCGCUAAAGGAUUGGUCUAUGUCCUAUCAGCUUGUUGGUGAGGUAAUGGCUCACCAAGGCUAUGACGGGUAUCCGGCCUGAGAGGGUGAACGGACACACUGGAACUGAGACACGGCCCAGACUCCUGCGGGAGGCAGCAGUGGGGAAUAUUGCACAAUGGGGGAAACCCUGAUGCAGCGACGCCGCGUGAGCGAUGAAGUAUCUCGGUAUGUAAAGCUCUAUCAGCAGGGAAGAAAGUGACAGUACCUGACUAAGAAGCCCCGGCUAACUACGUGCCAGCAGCCGCGGUAAUACGUAGGGGGCAAGCGUUAUCCGGAUUCACUGGGCGUAAAGGGAGCGCAGGCGGCACGGCAAGUCUGGUGUGAAAACCCGGGGCUCAACCCCGGGACUGCAUUGGAAACUGCCGGGCUGGAGUGUCGGAGGGGUAAGCGGAAUUCCUAGUGUAGCGGUGAAAUGCGUAGAUAUUAGGAGGAACACCCCCGUACUGCAA
rnacentral:rRNA from 1 species